rnacentral:rRNA from 1 species
GCAUAAUCACUUGCCUUUUAAUUGAAGGCUGGAAUGAACGAACCAACGUGAGCUUACCUGUCUCCAUCAUGCACAUAGAAUUUAACCUUUAGGUGAAAAGGCCUAAAUAAAACUAAAAGACAAGAAGACCCUAUCGAGCUUCAUUGCUAAAUUAUUACACUACCUAACUCAACCUUAACCUCCUGUAAUAAUUAAACUAUUUUGUUGGGGCAACAGAGGAACACCCUAAAGCUUCCUAAAAAUUAUAAAUAAACCCGUUACGACCCAGAUAACUGAUCAAAGGACAAAGCUACCGUAGGGAUAACAGGUUAAUUUUUCUCGAGAGCCCACAUUAACAGAAAAGU